CUGGUCAUGAUCAGGAACUUCCGCGAAAUUCAAACCCCCACUGUGUACUGGACGAAGGACACGCGAUCUUUUGUCUUGUGGAGUUUUAUAUAACACAGUAAGGUAAGUUAUUAAGAUACUUUUCUUUUAAAUCCACGUAGAUUGCACUUAUUGUUCUACAGCGCGAUAUCCAGUUGGUUUUCGUUUUUGUUUGUUAUUCUUUUCUGUGAUGUAUUUUCGUGUAAGUGCAAGUAUUUUAUCAUCAGUCGCCAUUUAACGUAGAUAACGUUAAACAUGCAUGUUUUUACAGUAAGAGACGCAACAUGCAUGACGGGGAUGAUAAAAUAAUCAAUAAGAAGUUUGAAUCUUUAAAUGAAUGCUGAACCCCAAAGAAGCCAAACGAAGAUUAGAUGUUUUCUGUACUAAACCACAAAUCAGCAUUUGCUGAAGUCAUGUACCACACUUUGUCAACAAUAAAUGUUGUUUCUGCAAUCUGGAUAAAGAAUAAUGUGAGUAAAGAAUAAUAAUGAGGUUAAUAAACCUAACCGUUUAAAUAAUAAACAAAUGUGUAUGUGUUAAGAUGUUUGUGUUUGACUCCUCUAUUUAAUAGAUAUUACUGCCUCUUGGAGAACAGCCGGCCGUUCUCCAGACAGAGACAAAGACGUGAGAACAUCUAUUGCUUUUAAGUCAUGUACCACACUUUGUCAACAAUGCAUGUUGUUCCUGCAAUCUGGAUGAAGAAUAAUAUAUUACUACCUCUUGGGAAAACAGCAGACUGUACUCCAGACAGAGACAAAGACAUGAGGAC